GGACGGGUGAGUAAUGCCUAGGAAAUUGCCCUGAUGUGGGGGAUAACCAUUGGAAACGAUGGCUAAUACCGCAUAAUGCCUACGGGCCAAAGAGGGGGACCUUCGGGCCUCUCGCGUCAGGAUAUGCCUAGGUGGGAUUAGCUAGUUGGUGAGGUAAGGGCUCACCAAGGCGACGAUCCCUAGCUGGUCUGAGAGGAUGAUCAGCCACACUGGAACUGAGACACGGUCCAGACUCCUACGGGAGGCAGCAGUGGGGAAUAUUGCACAAUGGGCGCAAGCCUGAUGCAGCCAUGCCGCGUGUGUGAAGAAGGCCUUCGGGUUGUAAAGCACUUUCAGUCGUGAGGAAGGUAGUGUAGUUAAUAGCUGCAUUAUUUGACGUUAGCGACAGAAGAAGCACCGGCUAACUCCGUGCCAGCAGCCGCGGUAAUACGGAGGGUGCGAGCGUUAAUCGGAAUUACUGGGCGUAAAGCGCAUGCAGGGUGGUUUGUUAAGUCAGAUGUGAAAGCCCGGGGGCUCAACCUCGGAAUUGCAUUUGAAAACUGGCAAACUAAGAGUACUGUUAGAGGGGGGGGUAGAAUUUCAGGUGUAGCGGGUGAAAUGCGUAGAGAUCUGAAAGGAAUACCGGGUGGCGAAGGCGGCCCCCUGGAACAGAUUACUGACACUCAUAUGCGAAAGCGUGGGGGAGCAAAAC
rnacentral:rRNA from 1 species